rnacentral:lncRNA from 1 species
CCCAUUCCCUCUCUCUUCCUCCUCUCUCCAUCUGACUACAGAGGAGAAUCAUCCAUUCCAAAUCCUUUUAUUUCAAUGUAAUUCAUUUGAUUCUCACCACCUGAAGGUCUGCGUUCUGACCCUGUCACCUCCUGGAAACUACUUUCCCAGAAUUCCCCAGGGCCAUCCCAACUUCAGACCAUUGCCUUGUUCUGGCUGGGUUUUUGCAUAGAGUGUCCCUCAGCUUGUGUCCUCUACUCUUGAAACCCACACAUCUGCAUCAUGCUUCAAGAGCUGUCUCAGGGCCACUUUCCUGAAGAAGGCUUCCCCAACUGCCCUCAGUUCAGCUGGAUUUUUUGCACCCAUUAUGACCUUUUCUGUAGCACUUACUCAUUCCACCCUUCUCCAAGAGAUCAAAUGGGUCUGCUUCUCACAUUGGCAAACAUCUGUUUUUUUCUUCAGUGACAAGGAUUGUUCUUCAAUUAUUUUUACCUUACACAGAGACUAACAUAGUGCCUACCACCUAACAUGAAUUUAACAUACACUCUUGGGUGAAUAAUCUCCCUGUACGUUUUCUGAGACCAUAAUGAAAUAGGUUGGAAGAGAGAACUGAGAUGUUUACCUCAGCAAGUCACAAAUCGGCAAACUCAGAAACUCUAAUUAAUUAAAUUUCUUUGUUAUAGACAUAUUGGUUUUAAUUAAAAAUUCAUUGCAAUGUCUUAUUGAGUAGCUAUAAAAAAGAUAAACAUGAUAGAGCAAUUUAAAAAACAAAGUAUGCAAACAGUUUCACUUAUCAUGUCACUGUUACUUUUGGGUUUAACUCAUUACCUUAGAUGAUAAAUUGCAACUCGAUGAGCAAGGAAGGAAUCAAGUUUUCUGCAGGAAAUUCGUUAAGACUGGUGGCUGUUAAAAAUAGCCGAUACCCAAACAAAUUUUAUAAAUAAUUUACAAGAAAUGCAGACAGCAUCAUCUUUUUCUCUUAGAGUUUAAGUUGAUCAAUAAUUUUUUAUCACAAGCAAACUCCAUAAUGGUAAAUCCCCCAUCACCUUUGGUGAAUGAUACUGGCCCUCUACAAAGCUCGAUGAGAUACACUUCAUAUCUUCUCUCCUUGUUUUCUGCUGCCUAGAGAAUCACACAGCAGCAUUUAAGGAGCCAGCCAGUCUGAUGACUCAGCUCAUAAAACAAUGUGUGGCCACAAAGAUGAUGUUUAUCCAUGAGCAUUCUGGAGGCUCUUGCUACUGAAGUCGGCAAGCAGUGGAUAAGUGGCACACGAUGCUCAUUCUCAAGAGUUUCUGGCAGCGGUGCCAACACAGCACUCACUUCCCUCUCUCAGCAGUUGAUUUCAUCUGAUGCUCUGUCCAAACAGAAUGGUAGAAAAAAACAUCAGAGAAAUGCAGUGGGUAUAGAGGCAAAUCCAAACAAAGUGCAGGUGAUAGUGGUGACAUUCUGCCUUCUCUUGAUCAGAAGGUGUCAGCAGCUGGAGCUUAUCCCCAUAUGAACCCCAGGGUCAGGUAAAUGGAAGACUUAAGAACACGUUACCCAACUUACCUCUGCCCUUCUGGGUUCCUCAAGGAGGGGGUCUGCUGUGGUUAGUAAAACGUCUGCGGAGCUAGUUUCCUUCAUGGCAGAGAGAUGCGCAAGCUAGUCUCACUUCACCAGCACCUCUUAUUUACCCCAAAGCAACACCUUUUAGGAAGCCUCCUUUCAGGAGGCAGCUUUGGAAUAAGGGGCUAAUUCAAAGUAAGUUAACACAAAGGCUGUACACAGUGGCUCACACUUGUAAUCCCAGCACUUUGGGAGGCUGAGGCAGGCAGAUGACUUGGGGCCAGAAGUUCAAGACCAGCCUGGCCAACAUGGUGAAACCCCGUCUCUACUAAAAAUACAAAAAUUAGCCAGUCAUGGUGGUAUGCGCCUGGAGUCCCAGCUACUUAGGAGGCUGAGACAGGAGAAUCACUUGAACCCAGGAAGCAGAGAUUGCAGCGAACCAAGAUUGCUCCACUGCACUCCAGCCUGGUGACAAAGUGAGAAUGUGUCUGAAAAAAAAAAAAAGAUAAAGUUAACACAGAGAUGGCUGACACAAUUAGAGCACUUUCAGGUGAAGAGACCUAAAGUGUCUAAGAAGAUAUUAGUAUUUUGCUUUAAGUUUUGUUGCAUCUGAAUAUAUUUUCAGUAGGGAGGGGAUAGGGAAGAGUGUGACAGGAAGACAGAUUAAGCAGUACAAUAUUUCAUUAUUUUCCCUAAAAUGACAAACUUUAACCAUCUGUUCCUAUUUUAUCAACCCAUUCAAAAUGUUAUUAAAAUGUGGAUUUCUUUCAGUUAGCCAAGGUCUUCAAAUGAGAAAUGGCCAAAGCUCUCCUGAUUUUAAUUCGUGGAGACUGAUGUGGCACUUCUGGAUGGGCUCUAAUGAAUAAGCCCCACCAUGAGAAGCACCCCCAGAUGUUUCCAGAUGUGUCAGAGAAUUCCCAGCACUUGCUUGCUGCCCACUUGACUGUGAGCUACCUGGAGACAGCACCAUGCUAUAUUCUUUUUUAUUUUUAGUGCCUAGCAUGCAGCAUCUGACACAUAGUAGGUGCUCAGUAAAUAUUGUUUUAAUUAAUACAUUAGUAAAUGAGUGCUUUUAAUGUUUUCCAGAAAUUUAUAUUUUUGUUCCAAUAGGGUUUUUGUUUGCAUGUUUAUUUUCUGUCCAGGAAAAAGGGCGGAGAUAGAAUCAAAAACAAGAUACCCCCUGGAAGGAAGGGCAAAUAGAUAGAAACUUGGCAUUACCUAGAUCUCUUUUCCCUUGGGGGGAAAUAAUUAUGUCCUUAAAUUUCUGCACUAAGUCACCAAGGAGGGCUUGAAAUUAAAAACCUUGGAGAGUAAUUAGCAACAAAACGUUCUGAUGUCAAAAAGCACAUUUUAUAGGACCACAUUUGUAAUAUUAAUUGGGCCUCUGCAUAGCCAAAUGGUGAAAUUAUUGCUACAAUACAAACAGGCCCAAAAGAGAAAAACAGCCCAAAAUAGCACAGAUAUUCCAAAUCAGGACAGAGGUAAUUUCUCUAUACAUAAAAAACCACCAAUUGAAUGCCUUCACCAACUCACUUGAGUUAAAUGAGUUAAAAAACAAAAGCCUGUUGAGUAGUGUAGCACCACCUACCCCAUCUCUGAAAUGCUAUGGGACUGGGGCUAGGAAAAGAACCGAGACUUUAUCCCCACCAGCUUUUCAUACUUUUUAUCUUGAAGUGUAAAAAGUUUGAAUCAUUUAUUUACCAAAAAUUUAUUGAGCACCUAUUAUGGGCCAGGUCCAGAGCAAAAAAAAAAAAAAAAAAAAAAAACAGCGAGCCACUGCACCCAGCCUCUCUUCAUGGAGUUUAGCAUCUAGUUGGGAGAAGAGACACUGAACCAAUAAUCACACAAGCAAAUAUCUAAUGAGAGACACAAGGACAGGUGCAGUGGCUCACGCCUGUAAAUCCCAGCACUUUGGGAGGCUGAGGCGGGCAGAUCAUUUGAGGCCAAGAGGUCGAGACCAGCCUGGCCAACAUGGCGAAACCCUGUCUCUACUAAAAAUACAAAAAUUAGCCAGGUGUGGUGGUGGGUGCCUGUAGUCCCAGCUACUCGGUAGACUGAAGCAGUAGAAUCACUUGAACCCGGGAGACAGAGGCAGAGGUUGCAGUGAGCAAAGACUGCACCACCACUGCACUCCAGCGUGAGUGACAGAGCAAAACACCAUCAAAAAAAAAAAAAAAAAAAAAAAAAAACGAAGAGAGAUACAAGUACUAGGAAAGAAGAGAAAGAGAAAGGGUACAUGUACAGAGGGAGCCUCAGCCAGGGAUUCUGACCUAGUUUGCAAAUAGGGAAGACUUCCUGGAGGAAAUGAUAUUUAAACUGGAGGCUGACAAUACAUACAAAUUAGCCAAGUAAAGAAGAGAAAAGUGUUCUAGACAGAGCAAGCAGCAUUUGGGAAAGGUGAAUCUGGUGAAGAAGGAGCUUAACGUAUCCAAGGAAUGGAAAGGCCAGUGUGACCAGGACAUGAUGUGUGAGCGAGCAAGUGGGGAGUGGGGAGAAAUGUGCGGACUAGAGUGGAAGAUAGGGGCAGCCGCUGGGGCCUUGCCACGUCCCAUGACAUUAGGGAACCAGCCAUUGACAGACCUUGGGUCAGAAGCAGAGAUAAGAGACAUGAAUAAGAACAUGAUCUCCCCUCAAGGAGAUCCUGGGCUUGUUGAGGGAACAGCCUAGGAAAAGGCCUAUCCUCUUGAGUCCUGGGCUCAGAGGCACCACUGCACAUUCCCCAAUUCUCUGAGCACCAACAAAGUCUGUGCAGAAGCAUCUAGGACCACUGCUCACACAGGACCACUCCAGGCUUCUUUCUCCUCCUUGAGCCAAUCUUUCCUUUGUUCUCAAGAUGGCACAUCUGUGCCAGGCUCCAGCGCUCAUCUCCCGGGUUUGGAGGGGAAGCACAGCUUACCUCCCUACACAGCCCACUCUCCAGGUUCUGUGACCCACUGCUUUAGCUGUGGUCUCAACACCUUGCUUGUCCCUCACACCCCUGCCCAUGCUAAGGGUCCAGGGAAAGAAUGUUGCCAGGGGCACCAACAAGCAAUUGGCCCUGAAUCUGAUCAAGGAUUACUGCUAAUCUCUUCCUUGAGGAACAUUUAAUACAGGAUGCCAAAAAAGAGAAAUCUUUAGAGAAUUCUCUCACAAGAUCACACCUUAGGACUUGUACUCGGAACAUGCAGGGCCCUGACCCAGGGAGCAGCAGGAAUAGUACUCACUCUGUCACCACUGAAGAAGAGCAACUCUAAGAAAUGGGGACUAUUCUGUUCUCCAAUUAGCAUUGAGGGUGAUGGAUCAGAAUUUAUAAUAUGCAGUUAUGAGUUAUGGAACAAUCAGAGAAGUGAUCCUGAUUCAGAAACCUGCCAUUCCAGGAGCCAUGGCAAUUUUUCAUGAGAACUCAUCAUGGGGUGGCCCCUGCCAAAACCUCACUUGCACCCAGCCUGUCCCAGCCCCAGUCUGUCACUCCAGCCCACUGACAGCCUCAGGCUUUUUCAAGUUUCAGGUGACCUAGCAACAGGGAAUAGAACUUGAGAGCUCUGGAGUCAGAGCUGGGUUCACAUCCAGCUCCAGAUAGAUACUUCCUAGCUGGGUGACCCCAGGCAAGUAGCUUAAUCCCUCUGAACCGAGUUUCUUCCUGUCAGGUGGGAAUCAGAAUGGCUUCUACAUCAGGGAUGCUUCUGAGGAUAAUGCCUGCAAAGUUCUCAACACAGAGCCCGGCACAAGGUAAAUGCUCACUAAACUUUGGAACCUUGCUCCCCUCCUACCAGCUCAAAUUGCUUCCCAGAAAUGCUGGGUCUCCUUGCAUUUGUGGAAUCUGCUUCUCCUCCAAGCUAGCCUGCGAGAGCUGGUUUGGUCACCCCUGCGCAGCUGGGCUGGCCUCCUGCGUCUGCCUCUUACCAGCCAGCACUUAACUCAGCAUGAGCCUCUUCUCUCUAUUUAACACCAAAAGAAAUUGAUUUCCCUAAGCUAUUUCCAUGAUGCAGCACCCCUGAGAACUACAUAUUGCAUCAGUUCUCCUCCAUGACCAUCAAACCCCCUGCUCACAGCCACUCUCCCUAGAGCCACAGGGUCCUCAGCUGCCAAGGCAUAGAUCUGUUUCAUUUUGCACUUGCUUAAAGGUCAAACAUGAAUUUCUCCCCAUUAUUGUACUGUGUCUUGUCACACAGACUGUCUGUUUCAUGGAUUAGUCAUAGUCUUGCUAUCAAAUUAGAUAUUCCUCAGUAGUUAUUUUUAGAUAAAUCUUUUUCUAAUUCUACACGGUGCAAUGAUGUGUGUGCACCCACAGCUCUGGAAUCCAGGCAUUACCAGGUGGGUUCCAAAUUGUAUGAGAGUUCACAUUCCUCCAGAAAGCAACAGCCAGUGGAGCAGUGGAGUUUGUAACCUAGCUCUGUCCAUGGACUCUUCUGUCCAGCCCAAAAUAAUUAAUCCCCAUGUCUUGGAUAAUCCAAUCACUUAUCAUCAGUCCAGUAAAAGCCCAAAGGAGGCUUGUGACACAAUUGUGAGUUAAGCAAAACAUGUCUAUGCCAUCCCAACCUCUUGUUUGACUCUCUCCUUGAUCUUAGUACAGAGGCACCAAAGGCAAUUGUGCCUUCAUGCCCUGCACCCCCAUGGAAGACUGCCCUCGGGAAAGGCCCUGCCACCCUCCUGACUGAGACCUGAGUGAAUAUUACUGGUUAUAUCCCUGCUUGCUCCCAUGGUUCUGCCUGCACACUCAGACCAGCGUCCAUAGGGAAAUGAGGUCCUCAGAACAGAAUUUUAGACUUAACUGGGGUGAGUGUGCAUGGAGAAGGAAGGGCUUGCUAAGAGGGAGUCCUCUUCACCUACUCCAAGGCACUUUGAAGAUAAGAAGCUGCACAUACCUUGGGCUUUAAGGACCUCAUAUAGUUGGUCCAGCAUAGUUGAAGCAACAAAACCCAUAGUAACUCUAUUUUUUUUUUUUUUUUUUUGAGACGGAGUUUAGCUCUGUCACCCAGGCUGGAGCGCAGUGGCACGAUCUCAGCUUACUGUAAGUCCCGCCUCCCAGGUUCACACCAUUCUCCUGUCUCAGCCUCCCAAGUGGCUGGGACUACAGGCGCCCGCCACCAUGCCCAGCUGUUUUUUGUAUUUUUUAGUGGAGACGGGGUUUCAGCGUGUUAGCCAGGAUGGUCUUGAUCUCCUGACCUCAUGAUCCACCCGCCUCGGCCUCCUAAAGUGCUGGGAUUAGAGGCAUGAGCCACCGUGCCCGGCCAACCCAUAGUAACUCUGUUAAUUCAAGACAGUAUUUAGCAUUUGCUCCUGGGGUAUGAACUGUGAGGAGGGGGGCAGAUUUCCCAUUCCGAUGCUUUCUUCUAUGUGUCGGUCUCCACUGGCCGGGAUGUGUGGGGCCUCACUUACCCAAAACAAGUGAGACUAGGGGAAGGGGGAAAGUCAGCCCAGCACAGACCCAUGUGACUUCACACUAAGCCACUUCCUCCUUUAAGCCUUCUUCAAUAAAGAAGAUAAUGCUUUGGCCUCCAUCUGAGUUUUUAUCUCUCCAUUGUUCAGAACUUGGAUGAGGGAAAGAGGACUACUUAUUGGUGACCCUGUCAGAGAGCCCCUAUAGACUAUAAAUGCUUCAGCUGUUCAGAGGCAGGGGAGGCUGAGUGGAUUGGAAAAAUCUGGGAAGGCUCGGCUGAGGAGGCAAGGUCUCAGAGGAUGAGUUUAAGUGGAUAUGACUCUCGGGGGUGGUAUCAUGAACCAAAGCACAGAGGCAGGAAGAGCAAGAUGAGUGGGAUGCAAUGACGAGGCCAGUGUGACCAGAGCCCAAGACUUCCUUGGGGGUGGGGGCAGGGUGGCAGGUGGGUGGAGGCAGACUAUGAAGAAUUCUGAGUAGUCAGUAGAGACUAAACUAGUCAGUGGGUCAAAGUAUAUUUUCUGAAGGCUCUUCAGGGUCCAGGGGAAGUGGCUGGGGAUAGUCAAUGUUGGCUUAGAGGAGUCUGUGGGGCAGGCCAGGAGGCUGCUAUGAGGCAUUUAGAAGGAAGAGUGCAACCAUGAAGACCGGCUGAAGGCGUGGAGACAAUGUAGGAGGACACAGAGAUUUGACCUUGCAUCAUUCUAGCUGGUGAGAACAGCCCUAGCAGGGCUGAUGAGCCAUUCAGAGAGCCCACGGGGAAAGGUACAAAUUUGGGUCACCUGAUGGAAACUGCUUCCUCCCGUGAGGAGAAAUAGAAUAGUAAAUGAAAAGAUAGGAAAAUGAACAUCUUCUUUAACUACCAAAGAAAGACAAAUUGAAGCCACAAGAAGACCCCUUCUCUUUUCUUUUCUUUUCUUUUCUUUUUUUUUAAGAUGGAGUCUCGCUCUGUCACCAGGCUGGAGUGUAGUGGCACAAUCUCAGCUCAUUGCAACCUCUGCCUCCCGGGUUCACGCAAUUUUCCUGCCACAGCCUCCCAAGUAGCUGGGAUUACAGGGACACACCACCAAACCUGGCUAAUUUUUUGUAUUUUUAGUAGAGACAGGCCUUCACUAUGUUGGCCAGACUGGUCCCAAACCUGACCUCAUGAUCCACCUGCCUCUGCCUCCCAAAGUGCUGGGAUUACAGGCUUGAGCCACCACGCCAGGCCAAGAAGACCCCUUCUUUGGCCUAUCAUAUAAAAAAUUUUUCUUUUUUUUUUUUUUAGACAGAGUCUCACUCUGUCACCCUGUCACCCAGGCUACUUAUUUGAAGUAGGGUGGGUCCAGGUGACCCUCCCACCAGCACUGUGGCAAGUGGGUAUCAAGAACUUCCCCCAAAAAAUGUUAGUUCUGUGAAAAUGGAUUGAGAUAAGUUUCAUUUCUAUAGAUAUCCAAUGUAACAUUGUCUAUAAAUAUUGGAAAUAAUCCAAAUGACUACCAGUAGGGGAUGAAGUUAUUGAACAUGGGACAUUACCCCAUGCAAUUGUAUGCAACCAAUAACAACCAUGAAAUCAAUCUAUCAACAAAAAGAAUGUCUAGUGUGUCACAUUCAGCAAAAAACAAUCAGGCCCAAAACUCUGUUCACAGUGUGGUUAUAAUUAUGCAAGAACAAUCACGUGCAGAUACAAACCAGAGUAAAAUAUACCAAGAAGAGACCCUUUCCUCCUUUCUGCAAUUUCCCAAUGAUUAUGUGUUGCUUCUCUGACACAUUUACCUGUGUACAGCCGUAUCACUUUCUCAGAGAAUAAUACACAGAGACGGGACAUGGAGCUGGGCAGCACUGGCAACCCUGUACUCUGGAGCCCACCCUCUUUGGAGCUCAUCCUUCCUGCUAAUGAGCAGGGAGUAGUUUUCAAAGCUAGGCUCUUGUGAUAGAGAGCUGUGACAGGACUGAACAUGGAUUCUUGUACCUGAUUCAUCCUUCCUAGCCUAGCUCAUCUACUCAUCCACUCUGGCCAACCCAGGCCCUGACUUCCAGAACAUAGGACCCAUUUUUAUCUUUCUCUAUGGCCCCUGAGGGCUCUGGUCAGCCAGAGGAGAAGCCCAGAGCUCAAGGCUCCUCGUGGGGUGCCUGGAAAAAGGCUGCCACUCCCCUUCACUGCACUCACUGUCUCUACCUCCAUAUCUACAGCUCCCAUUUCUCCCCAUUUGGGCUUCCAGCCCUGUUGUUCCACUGAAACGUCCAUGCCAAGGCCACCAAGGAUGUCUGUGGUGGCAAAUCUGAUUAUUGCUUCUCUGUCUUCAUCCUACUUUUCCUGUGCAACAGCAUUCAACACAGUGACCAUCCCUUUUUUUUUUUUCUGAGACAGAGUCUCACUCUGUCUCCCAGGCUGGAGUGCAGUGGCACGAUCUCAGCUCACUGCAACCUCUGCCUCCCGGGUUCAAGCGAUUCUCCUGCCUCGGGACUCCUGAUUAGCUGGGACUACAGGCAUGUGCCACCACACCUGGCUAAUUUUUUGUAUUUUUCGUAGAGACGGGGUUUCACCGUGUUAGCCAGGACGGUCUCAAUCUCCUGACCUCGUGAUCCGCCCACCUCAGCCUCCCAAAGUGCUGGGAUUACAGGCCUGAGCCACCCGCCCAGCCGUGACCAUCCCUUUCUUAUGAUACUUGCUUUUAGAAGCUUCCAAUAAACUAUACCUCUUGUUUUUUCUCUUAGCCGGCUGCUCCCUCUCAGUCUACUUUUCUGGAUCCUUCAUGUCUCCCCAACCUCUGCCACAGGAUUGAGUCCCCUUUUCAUCUCUCUGCACAUUCUCUCCUCUUGUCUGAUCUUGUGGCUUUGGACCCCAUAUAAAUCAUGAUGUCUCCCAAAGCUGUGCCACAAGAUUCAUCAUUUCAACUGCCUUCGUGACACCUUGAAUGUCUAAUAGUAUCUUGAAAUGAGAGUGGCCAAUGCUGCAAACCAUCCCCUCCACAUACAGUCUCCUCAUCUUAAGAGACAGCACCUCCAUCUCUCUAGCAGCCCAAGGCAACACUCUAGCAGUCACCUUGGUGCCUCUCUCCCUCUUACAUGUCCAUCUAUGACUGAAUGGUUUUGACAUUUGUCCCUGCCAAAUCUCAUGUUGAAAUGUAAUCCCCAACGUUGGAAGUAGGGCCUGGUGGGAGGUGUUUGGAUCACGGGGGGCCGAUCCCUCAUGAAUGGCUUAGUGCCAUCCCCUUGGUGAUAAGUGAGUUUACCUGAGAUCUGGUUAUUUAAAAGUGUAUGAAGGCCAGGCACAGUGGUUCACGCCUGUGAUCCCAGCACCUUAGGAGGCCGAGGCAGGCGGAUCACUUGAGGUCAGGGGUUCUGGACCAACCUGGCCAACAUGGUGAAACCCUGUCUCUACUAAAAAUAUAAAAAUUAGCCAGGUGAGGUGGUGCAUGCCUGUAAUCCCAGCUACUUUGAGGCUGAGACAUGAGAAUAGCUUGAACCUGGGAGGCUUGAACCUGGGAGGUUGCAGUGAGUCGAGAUGGUGCCAUUGCACUACAGCCUAGGCAACAGAGUGAGACUCUAUCUCAAAAAACAAACAAACAAACAAACAAACAAAACGGUGUAUGACACCUCCCCCUUCUCUGUCUUGUUUCCACUCUUGCCAAGUGACAUGCUGGCUCCUUUUGGAAGCUACUUGUUUGAGCAUGACAAACCUAUGGCACUGUUCUUUUUUUUUUUUU